GAGACACUGGUUCUCGUACGAUCACCGAAGUUAAGCAACGCCGAGCCUGGUAAGUAUGGGUGACCGCUUGGAAAUACCAGGUGCUGUCAG